AUGGCCGUGCACCACUGCGGGCUGUGCCGCCGCACCUCCUUCUCGGGCCGGCGGCACCUCUACAGCCCCGCGCACCGGCGGCGGCUGCGGGAGGCGCUGGCCCGGCUGCAGGAGGAGGCGGAGGCGGCGCGGGCCGAGGCGGCGGCGGGGGACAGGGCGGGCGGCGUGGCCCUGCAGCCCUACGACCCGGCCCAGCACGGCCGGCGCGUCUGGUGCCUGUGCUGCGGGCGCGGCGUGCGGCGGGACGAGCAGCGGGACGGGCUGGCGCUGCCGGGGGCCGGCCUGCUCCGGCACCUGGCCGGGCCCGAGCACCGUCGGGAGACGUUGCGGUUCUGGCGGGAGAACCGGGUGGAGGCGGCGCUGCGGGAGCGGGUCCUGGUGCCGGCCGAGGAGUACGAGAGCUGGGCCCGGGCGGCAGAGCAGGCGCUGGCCGCGCAUCGGCGGCGAGAGGAGGAGCGGAUCCGGCAGAUGGCGGCCGGGAUCCGGGAGGCCGAGCGCAGGCAGCGGGAGACGGUGCGGGCCGCCCUGCAGCUUCAGGAAGAGGCAGAGCUUUGUGCAGGACCGCCUGUCUGCAGGCCCCCGGCAGGAUCCGAAAGGGACUCCUCUCAGGAUGUGGAACAGCCUGGCCCAAGCAGGAUGCAGACAGGACCCAGCUUAAACUGGAUGGAACCAGGCCAGGCUCUGACCUUCAUUGGCCACCAGGAAACAGAGGGGAAAGGAAAUGUUCACACAGGAGCAAAACCUCCUUGGCUAACAGAGGAAGAGGAUGGAAGUAAACAACAAAUUGGACCUUCAUAUGAGGAAUUCCUCAAACAAAAGGAGAAGCAGAAGCUGAAAAAGCUGCCAGCAGAGCGUGUCGGUGCCAGCUUUGACCAUACCUCUCAGACAGCUGACAGCUGGCUGCCUUCCUUCGGGCGUGUCUGGAACCACGGCAGGAGGUGGCAGUCCAGGUGAGGAGCAGGGUCUAAGGGCGCGUGGCUUCGUUCCACACCUGAUCCCCACGAAGCAGGCUUGGCAGCAGCAGCACAUGUCUUGCCACACACUGUUCUGGAGCUGCAUGACUUGCCAGGUGAAGCAUGUGAAGACACAGUGCAGACACUCUGCCUGGCUCAGCCCAGCCCUGCAUACCUCUGUGCCCUGCAGGGGCCCAAGUCUGUGUCAGCUGGCAGGGGAGACUGCUACAGCCCACCAGGGCAUCAGUUUAGAACUGAAUCGGGGGAAAAGAAGAAAAAAAGGUGAUCACAAGAGAAGCACUGAAGAAACCAAGCUCCGAAUGUUGUGCAGAGGUAGACUGGAGCUAGCUGCAGCUGCAUCAGUGCUGCUGCCAAAUCUAGCUCACUUGUUAAGUAUUAAAAACAUGCUGGUGUGCCCUCGUCCCUGGGAGGCAGGGUGGCCACAGGGUAUCCCGAGGUCAGCACUCCUGCUGGUAUCCUGCUGGAUCCACUCCCUCUGAACUGGACACACCAUCUGGGCAUUGUUCUGCAGGUCUGGGGCUACACAAGGGCAGAUCCUGCCUGUGCUGCAUCUUCAGGCAGCUGAGCUCAUGCAGCACGUGCUGCAGUGUCCUACACUGAUGUGUAGCAUGACAUCCCAUUAAAGAAAUAGAUUUUUGAGAAAUAAAAA